ensembl:lncRNA
UAAAGAUAUUUUAGUUAGUUUAAAAAAAUUGAAUAUAUUAGAAACUAAAAGAAAGUAUGAAAAGAAAUAUACUUUUAUAAAUAAUGAUAAGAAAGAAACAGAACAAAAUAAUCAGAAUUCUAAUCAUAAGCAUGUUAAAAAAAAAAAAAAAAAACUGUCACCUCUUUCAUUAAUUGUAACAGUAGAUGAUACUUGUCAUUUUUUAAAAAAAGCUAUAAAAAAAGAAUAUAUAAUAAAAUUAAAUUAUAUUUAUUAUCCUUAUAAUAAAUGUCAAUAUAUUAUUCCAUUUUAUGAUAAUGAUUAUAUUUUUAAUAAAAAUGUCGCGCUGGUUAAUUCUUUUUAUUGUUUACAUGGAAAAAUUAAUUGUCCUAAAAUAACUUUAUUCCCGACUAGGAUUUACCCUAUUCAGCGAUUUUUUUUUGGUAAUGUUAACACCUGAUAUUGUAUGUUCUGUUUGUUGCUCAGUUUGUUGUUCCCCAUUUUGUACGUGUACCAUAGAUAUACAUAUAUAUAUAUAUAUAUAUAUAUAUUUACAUUCACCUAUUUUCUAAUAUUUUUCCCCCCUUGUUAGUAAACGAAUACGUAGAACUAGAACUUAUAGAAAAGAAUAACUCAGGUAAGAAUGAACAAAGUAUUAUUAUUAGCAACAUGUCAAUAAGUAAUAACAUUUUGAAUAGUUUAAAAUUAUCUUUAAGUGAAUUAGAUAUUUGUAUUCCUAUUUUUGUUGUAAUUGAUAAAACUUGUAACAUAUAUAAAGGAUAUUAUUAUACUAGUGAUUAUACUUAUUAUAAAUGUGUGAAUCCUAAUAUUUUUGUUCAUAAUAAAGACCAUGAUGAAAUUAGUAGCAAACAUGAUGAAAGCGAUAAAAACGGAAGCGACAGUAGCGAAAGUAUGUAUAGUUAUAGUAGUAGCAAUAAGAGCAGUAACAACAGUAUAAGUAAAAGUAGUACUGAUGGGAUGAGUAUAUAUAAAGAAAACAAUAACUAUACCCCUAUAUACAAAGGACUCGGUUUUGAAGUAAAUUAUCAUUCUUUUCUAUUCUAUAACUAUUUUAAUUGUUUUUCAUUUGAACACUUAGUAGCAUUAUUUUGUUUAUUUAUUCAUUUGACUAAUAUAAAAGGAAAAGCUAUUUUUAAUAUUACAGUUAGAGUAAAAAAUAUUUAUAUAAUUGAUAAUCCGAAUGGUUAUAAUGUUUCCAAUCCGGUACAAUUAAGUAAUAAGAAAUAUAAAUUUUUUAAAAUGUUAAUUCAGAAAAAUGAAGAAAAGCAUAGUUUUUGUUCCAUAGAUAAAAUAGGUUCUAAUGUGAAUAAAAAAAAAAAACAAAUGAAUAUACUUUUUUUUUAUAAAAAUAAAUACAACAUGAGUAAUUAUGAUAAAAACAAUUACGCAUAUAUAUAUUUAAAUAAUAUAUUUUCUUAUGUAAAGAAUAAAGAAUAUUAUAAUAAUAAAAUGUCAUUUUGUUAUUUCUACCGACCGAAUGGUUUGUUAUGUCAUUAUGAUAAUAAUGACGAUGAUGACGAUAAUAAUAAUAAUAAUAAUAACAAUAAUAACAAUAAUAAUAAUAAUAAUCUUCGUAAACAGAUAACUGUUGAUGAUAAACAUGACGACAAUGGUAGUAGUAAUAACAAACGAAUAUCAUUAAGUAACUAUUUGUAUAGCAUAAAAAAAGACGUGUUGUGCAAGCCACAAUAUCUUAUACCCUAUGUAAAAAAAAUAAAAUUAAAAAAACAAUCAAUUACAAACAAAAAAUAUUAUAAUGGUGGUUAUAACUAUGAAUAUAUUUUUUCUGACACCUUCAUGUUAUUUCAUUCUUAUUUAUUAUAUACAAAUAGUUAUAAUUAUUUAAAUAGUGAAAAAGAGUUAAUAAAAAAUAAAAAAAAACAAAAAAAGACAUUUGAAUAUAUUAAUAAAUUAUAUAGUAAUAUAAGAAAUCAUAAUAAAAGUUUAAUCAUAAAUGAAACAAAUCCAUAUUUAUCUAUUUAUGUGUUAAAUUUGAUUAGCAAUUUAGAGUAUAAAAUUGUUAACAGAACAAAUUUUUACCCACACGGUGAUAGCGUUAGAACCAGUGAUAACGUUACAGCCAGUAAUAACGUUAGAACUGGUAAGAACAACAGGUUGAAUAAUAAAUGGAAAAUCAGAUUCAUAAAAAAUACCAAAUAUAAAGGAAAAAAUAGUUAUUUAUUAAAAAAUAUUUUAAAGUUAUAUUAUAAUGAACUAAUGGAACAAAAAAAGAAACACAUUGGUAGUGCUAGUUUUAGAAGUAUCAAUAGUAAUGGUAAUGGUAAUGUUAAUGUUAAUAAUAAUGUUAAUAAUAAUGUUAAUAAUAAUGGUAAUAAUAAUGGUAAUAAUAAUGGUAAUAAUAAUGGUAAUAAUAAUGGUUAUGAUAAUGGUUAUGAUAAUGGUAAUAAUAAUGUUAAUAAUAAUGGUAAUAAUAAUGGUAAUAAUAAUGGUAAUAAUAAUGGUAAUAAUAAUGGUUAUGAUAAUGGUUAUGAUAAUGGUUAUGAUAAUGGUUAUGAUAAUAAUAAUAGUAAAAGUGCUGAUGGAGAAAAUGGAGACUAUAAUACAAUGUUUUCUAAUACCUGUAUAUAUAAAUUUAUUUCGUUAAAAAAAAAAAAAUGGUUAAUAGACCCAAACAUAAGUUUUUAUUCCUGCUUUAACAUUGAAGAUGGUUUUACAAGAUUAAAUAUAGACAACAUUAUUAACAGUAUGUUUAGUGAUGACAAGAAAAAAGUAUUUGAGUUAGGUGAUAAUCAUAAAUAUAAAUAUGAUGAUACACAUAGUGAUGGUGAUACUGAUCAUAGUGAUAGUAAUAGCAGUGGUAGUGAAAAUGAAAAUUACGACAAAAACUAUUAUAGCAGAAACGACAGUAGUUACCAUAGCAUAUAUACUAGCAACCACGCCAACAAUCAUGCGAGCAGCCACAAUAAUAAUAUCAACACUAAUAAUGUUAGCAUAGUAUAUAACAACGGUACUACUUGUGAUAGCAGUAACAGUAAUAGUAACAGUAACAGCAGAAGCAACAGUAACAGUAACAGCAACAACAACAGCAACAUCAAAAGCAACAACAACAGCAACAUCAAAAGC